UACGGAGGGUGCAAGCGUUGUCCGGAUUCAUUGGGUUUAAAGAGUGUGUAGGUGGUGUCGUAAGUUUGGUGUGAAAUCUCCCGGCUUAACUGGGAGGGUGCGCCGAAGACUGCGAUGCUGGAGUAUGGGAGAGGAAAGCGGAAUUCCUGGUGUAGCGGUGAAAUGCGUAGAUAUCAGGAGGAACACCUGCGGUGUAGACGGCUUUCUGGACCAUUACUGACACUGAGACACGAAAGCGUGGGUAGCAAACAGG
rnacentral:rRNA from 1 species